GAUGAACGCUAGCGGCAUGCCUAACACAUGCAAGUCGAGCGGAAAGGCUUGUUCGGAAAUUUGAGAGCGGCGCACGCGUGCGUAACACGUGUGCAUCCUACCUUUAUCUGGGGGACAGCCUUUCGAUAGGAAGAUUAAUACCCCAUACUAUUAUGAUUUGCAUCAACAAUUAUUGACAAUUCCGGUGGAUCGAGAUGGGCACGCUCAAGAUUGGAUAGUUGGUGAGGUAACGGCUCACCAAGUCAAUGAACUUUAGGGGUGCUGAGAGGGAGAUCCCCCACAAUGGUACCGAGGCACAGACCAGACUCCUACGGGGGGGAGGAGUGAGGAAUAUUGGGCGAUGGGGGAGAGCCUGAUCCAGCCAUCCCGGGGGAAGGAGGACGGUCCUAGGGAUUGUAAACUUCUUUUGAACAGGGAUAAACCAACUCUCGUGAGGGUUGCUGAAGGUACUGUACGAAUAAGCACCGGCUAACUACGUG
rnacentral:rRNA from 1 species